UUCCAGCUGCGAGAUGAUAUGAUAAAAC
rnacentral:sRNA from 1 species